AGGACGAACGCUGGCGGCGUGCUUAACACAUGCAAGUCGAGCGGAAAGGCCCUUCGGGGUACUCGAGCGGCGAACGGGUGAGUAACACGUGAGUAAUCUGCCCCUAGCUCUGGGAUAGCUCCGGGAAAACCGGGAUUAAUACCAGAUACGACCACUUUAGACAUCUGUUGUGGUGGAAAGAAUUUUGGCUAGGGAUGAGCUCGCGGCCUAUCAGCUUGUUGGUGAGGUAACGGCUCACCAAGGCGACGACGGGUAGCCGGCCUGAGAGGGCGACCGGCCACACUGGGACUGAGACACGGCCCAGACUCCUACGGGAGGCAGCAGUGGGGAAUAUUGCGCAAUGGGCGAAAGCCUGACGCAGCGACGCCGCGUGGGGGAUGGAAGGCCUUCGGGUUGUAAACCCCUUUCAGCGAGGGACGAAGCGAAAGUGACGGUACCUGCAGAAGAAGCGCCGGCUAACUACGCGCCAGCAGCCGC
rnacentral:rRNA from 1 species